CAGCCGCCACGGUAAUACGAAGGGGGCUAGCGUUGCUCGGAAUGACUGGGCGUAAAGGGCGCGUAGGCGGCGAUCAAAGUCAGGCGUGAAAUUCCUGGGCUCAACCUGGGGGCUGCGCUUGAUACUUGGUUGCUUGAGUGGGGAAGAGGGUCGUGGAAUUCCCAGUGUAGAGGUGAAAUUCGUAGAUAUUGGGAAGAACACCGGUGGCGAAGGCGGCGACCUGGUCCUUGACUGACGCUGAGGCGCGAAAGCGUGGGGAGCAAACAGGAUUAGAUACCCCAGUAGUCCCUGUCUCUUAUAC
rnacentral:rRNA from 1 species